UACCUCAUUCUAUGUGUAUAGUAUAUAGUAGUAGAAAAUUUGUUCUGUGUAUAUAGUAAAUAUAACAGUAGUAUAUACCUUUUUCUCUCUCUAUAGCAUAUGUAGCAUACCCCUCAUUCCACCUUACUGAAGACAAAGGGGCCGCUUGUCCAUGUUUGCAUCCUCCCUGGUACCAAGCACACUGCGUGCCUUGUACAGAGUAGGGCUCUUAGGCAGGGAGAGCAGUGGUUUUGGUUGCUGGGGGAGAAGUAGGACAAAAGUGGCCAAUUUCACCAACUCCAUUCUGUCUUAUGUUGCUCCUGCAUUGAGUUGCUUGGCCAGGGGAAUUACGGGGUUUGAAAAGCGUAUCACUCACCCCAGAUCUUUAGCAGUUUUUCUAAGUGGAGUCUCUGGGAUAACUGAAGGCAGUCCAGGCUAACUACUUAGGGAUAUGAUUUGAGUUAAGGGAAUUUUGAACCACAACUUAAAUAAGAGCCUGGAAUGAGAGAGUCCGUAUAGCAAUGCCUACGGGCUCCUUUGGCUGACGGAUUUGAAUGACCAAAGGAGUACGAUCUGGGCUGGGGCUACGGGCUAAGGAACUGAAAGACCCCUCCUAAGGAAGAAGCUGCCAUUCAAAUACCAGUAGAUGGCAGCAGAGAGCAGCAGCAUCUCCAUGGAGACUGCACCCAGGGGCUCUGCUCCCAGGAGAGCAUCUCAGUGGACACGUCCAGCAGAGAGAAGAGCAAGUCGUGAGCACCGGGCAGUGGAGGACUCUUCGUGGCAGGAGAGUGCGAGUUGUAAUGUUUAUAGUCUUUGGCCGCAUGAGCCGUUCCACGUGUGUUCUCUCUGAGCUGGGUGUGAGUGUGUAGCUGAUUUCGGAAGCUCGGCCCGUGAUGUGGAAUGGUAGCCAAGUGCCAAAGGUCUGGGUGGUCCGGCCGGUUGAGGCCUUCAGUGGGCACUCAUAUGGGCAAUCCGGAGUGGAUGUGGCUCAGCUGGGAAAGAGGAGACAUUCCCAGAUGGUCUCAGUGCAGUGGGAUGAGGGGAGGGGGCUGGCUUGGGCAAAGAGGGGUGAUUUCCCAAAGGGGGGUGACCAGAGAAACUCGGAGACUUGGGGAGGAGUGCCAAGAGCUGGACCACCUCCUGGAGCUGGUCUGUGUCUUCUGCACAUAGGUCCCUUCUUCUGCAGCGGGGGUAGACCUUGUUCUCUUCUGAGGAUUUGGAAUCUAGAAUCUGCACCUUAGCUUUCUCCUUAGCUGUGGGGGUGGGAUGGGAAUGGGGGCAAGGAGUUACCAUCGUCCUCUCAUUGUGGGGGUAAGUUGACAUAAGGAAAAUGUGGACCUAAAGUAGGACAAGCCAUUAUUAAGUACCUACUGUGUGCCAGCCACACCGAGAUACAAAGACAAAACAAAAGUGUUUCCUGCCUUUAGGAACUUACACUUUAUUGGAAAGGCAGGAGGAGAUAAGAUGUCUCCAUACCAGAAUCAACACGAUACAUGCAAAACUAUGCGAUUAUUUCUGUAGGAUGAAGGGACUGGGAGGCUGUCCCUAGGAGAGAUCAGGCUUCCUGGGCUGAUCUUGAAGGAAACUAGGGUCUCCAGAAGGCAUGGCACUCCAGGGUACCCCAAAGAAGACAGGAUGCCAAAAGAGCCAUAAAUUCCAGCCAAACAAGGAACAGAGGAGCUGGAGAGGAGAAAUUCUGGGGGACCAGCUGCACCAGACGCCUCCUCCUAGCCCUGUGUCCAGGCCCCUGGGCUGGCUGCCCCACUUUGUAGGAAUAUGAGAAGAAAGAGAACAGAAGAGCCUCCAUCUGGAGCUGGAAGAGCUUUGGAAGUUUUCAAGUUCAAUCCAUUUCAUAGGUUUGGAAACUAAGUCCCAGAGAAGGGAAGGAGCUUCCCUAAGUCACACAGAUGGUGAAGAGUGGAGUCAUGUUGGGCCUGGAGCUCUGACUGCCAAGAGAUCAGAGGAGGCUGUGGGUAAACGUGGAUGGGAGCCAAGGGACGGCUCUGGAAGAGGUGCCCUUCUUCAGCAGGCUGGAAGAAAAUGCUUCCUCCUGCUUAGAAUGAGGAUGUUGGCUAGAAAGCCUCUAGGGCCCCUUUCAGCCCUGAAUCUAGGAUUCCAUCUAGGGCACAGGAGGAAACUGAGUCUCAGAGAGGGGAGGGGACAAGGGCUCGAUGGGAGCGGCUGGGAAGAAGUCAAGCCAGGAUUGGGACCUGGGUACCCCAGCUCCCCCACUCUGCCCCAGCUGCUGCUGCUCUCGGCACUGGAUCGAGUCUUCCUGGGGACUCCAUCUCAAGAGUGCAUGCUCCCUUUCCUGGCCUGAGCCGGCUCCAUUCUGAACCAAUUAGCCCAAGUGCAUCUCACUAUAUGCAUCCCCCAAGUGUCUGCAUUUUGGAAAAGCUGCAGAUUCAGUCCCAUUGUGAGUUUGGAAUUGUGUUUCCUUGGAAAAAUUCUGGCCCAAGAAAAUGAAAGUCAUCCUUGGGAAGGUUGCCAGCUAGCCCCAAGAGUCUACAUGAAGUUAAAAUGUUGAUUUUCCUAGAGAAAAAAAAAGUAAGUGAAUACUGAUUUUUGCUAGAACUGUCAAAACAAGGGCUGCAGCCUCCAGGCUCUCCUGCCCGGCCUGCCAAAGGGAAAUGGAUCUGCUCCAACAGAUUCCCGUAAAACAACUGCAGCCCAGCCCACCCCAGCCUGAGUUCUGGCACAGGGCAAGGAGCUGGGACCAGCUGGGGAGGGAGGUCCUGGCUCUGCUUCUCUGGAGCUAGGUGACCCUGGGCAGGUCAUAGUGUCUCCAGACCUCCGAUUUCUCAACUGUCAAAACUCCUAGGCUUUAAGAGGAGGUCCUUGGGAUGGGGUGCAGAUAGGAGUUUUCCUUCUGCUGGGGUCAGCAUCCCUCCAAUCCCCCACCCCAUCCUGUCAUCAUGCUCGUCCAAAUGGCCGUGUCCACUCAUGGACCCCCGGCAAGAGACAGAAGCUAUUAUGGGCACAGAACCCUCCCCUGGGACAGGAUCUUCAAACUGAGAACGACCCCUACAGCUCUUCUUCAUGCUUCAAUUUUGCCACAAGUCCGGGACCACCUGUGUCCUCAGGUCUGUCCAGGCUGAUUCAGUUCAGGUACCGAUCCCUGUUCUAGACACUGGAGAGGACAAAGACAACUGUUCUUCAUGGUGAUCUGGGUAGAGAUGCUUCUGAUCAAUGGAAGGGAGUGGUGGGGCAAAGAUCAGGUGCUUGAGGAUGAUUGAGGGACAGAAAACUAAGAAUAAGGGGCUUGCUUCCAAGAUACCUGAGCUGAGUCUGGAAGAAAGAUGUGAAAUCUAAGUGCUGGAGAGAAGGGGGAGCAGAUAUCAGGCCUGCAAGGCAUAGGGAUCUCACACAAACUCAGAACCUCUUUCCUGAGGGACCCAAGAAUCAACUGCCUUAUUUGAGAAAGUGUGAAGAGACAUCUAGAAAGGACUGGGUUUAAAAUUUAAAAAAUUUUUUUUUAAUUUUUUAAAAAAUUUAUUUUUUAAAAUUAUGGUAUAUGUGUAACCUAUAUCCGAUUGCUUGCUGUUUUGGGAAGGAGAUAAAAAAAUUAGAACUCAAAAUCUUACAAAAAUGAAUGUUGAAAAUGAUCUUUACAUGUCAUUGGAAAAAUGAAAUACUCUUGACAAAUAUUAUAAGCGACAGUUAUGACAUACAAAAAUGAUCUUUAUAGUUGAUUUUUUUAAUUAAAAAAAACUGAGUUUAACUCUAAUUUUUUGGAGAGGAAAUGACAGGCUGAAAAGGAUUUUUAUGAAACUUGGGCUGCCAUCUUGAGAGACCUGAAUAGUGGGACUCUCUUUACAGUGUCUAUGGAGAAGUCAGUCUGACUAUAAGCUUUCUCAUCAGUAAUGGAUUGUUGAAAUAUUUAAAUAUAUCUUUAUGAUGUUUGUCAUACUAUUAAUAAAUCAUAUCUCCAGUAGCAAUGUUUAGCUGAAUCUAUGAGAUCAAGAUUUAAUAUCAAGAAAGAGCUGAGUGAAAACUUAUGGGAAAAAGGUUUUUCUUUUAUAAAAUGGGGUGGGGCUCAGUCAAUUGGCUGAAUAAUGAGAAAAGUUGUAUCUUUCUAUUCAUUUGUGAAUCAUAAUAUAUCCCUCAACUGUCUUAGAAUCCAAGUGGAUAAUUAACCAGAUAGUGAGCCAGGAGCAGUUAGAGAGUGGAUAAUUCCACUACACAUGAGGACGGGCUGCUGUCCCCAAAACUUUCACUUAAAAAAGUCAUUUUUAUAGACAUUUCCCAGACAUAUUAUCUCAUGAAGCUCUCUUUUAAUAUUAAGAAAGUGACAGCCUCAGAGCAGUGACCUGUCAAAUAUCACUGAGAUAAUAAUGUCAAAACAAGAGUCUGAACUCAAUUGUUCUGGCCUUAAAUCCAGCAGACUAUUAACCACACACUGCUGCUGCUGCUUAAGAAUUUUUGUUCUACAUAGUAUUCGCACUCUUUCUCUUAUUGUUUGUUUUUUCUUCUCAAGUUUUACUUUUAUCUUUUUUCUAAAUUUGAUCUUUCUUGUGCAACAAGAUAACUUUAUAAAUAUGUAUACAUAUAUUGUAGCUAAGAUAUACUCUAACAUGUUUAACAUGUAUGGGACUGCCUGCCAUCUAGGGAAAGGAGUGGAGGGAAGGAGGGGAGAAGUCGGAACAGAAGUUUUUGCAAGGGUCAAUGUUGGAAAAAUUACCCAGGCAUAUGUUUUGUAUUUAAAAAGCUAUAAUAAAAAAAUCAAAAAAAGAA